rnacentral:rRNA from 1 species
AUUGCUUAGUAACGGCGAGUGAAGCGGCAAAAGCUCAAAUUUGAAAUCUGGUACCUUUGGUGCCCGAGUUGUAAUUUGUAGAAGGUAACUUUGGGGCUGGUCCUUGUCUAUGUUCCUUGGAACAGGACGUCAUAGAGGGUGAGAAUCCCGUGUGGCGAGGAUCCCAGUUCUUUGUAAAGUGCUUUCGAAGAGUCGAGUUGUUUGGGAAUGCAGCUCUAAGUGGGUGGUAAAUUCCAUCUAAAGCUAAAUAUUGGCGAGAGACCGAUAGCGAACAAGUACAGUGAUGGAAAGAUGAAAAGAACUUUGAAAAGAGAGUGAAAAAGUACGUGAAAUUGUUGAAAGGGAAGGGCAUUUGAUCAGACAUGGUGUUUUGCGCCCUCUGCUCCUUGUGGGUGGGGGAAUCUCGCAGCUCACUGGGCCAGCAUCGGUUUUGGCGGCAGGAUAAAUCUGCAGGAAUGUAACUUGCCUCGGUAAGUAUUAUAGCCUGUAGGAAUACUGCCAGCUGGGACUGAGGACUGCGACUUUACGUCAAGGAUGCUGGCAUAAUGUAUAUCCGUG